CGUCAAGGGGACUGAAUGAGAGGACACCCAAGUAUUUGGUGUAAGUGAUCAAGAUAACCAAUAGCCAGACAUAGUCACAUAUCUAACAAAAUAAACAGGAAAAUGGAUGUAAACAAAAUCACAUUCAUUAGAUUAAGACAACCCAUAAUAGGUGAUUACAUCAAAGCAAAAGAAAAUAAAAACUGAAUAAACAAAAAAAAAACAAAAACAAAAAAUACACAGAGAAAACCAAAAGUACAAAAAAC
rnacentral:lncRNA from 1 species